AUGACGUCAUCAUGGCGACCGCUAACGAUAUGGAAAAAGAUAAAGUCAAACCGAAAGGUCCACGUGGCAAAUUCAAGUCUCGUUUGUUGAAAGUGAUGAGUACAUAUGGCCGAGAACUGUGUUUUAUAUUGGCUGUAUUGUUUACGGCUCUUGCAGCUCUACACAAUGGCCCACCAAAGACUAGGAAAGCUAGUCCUCCACAGAAGUUUUUCUCCUCGUCUUCCCUAGUGAGUGAUUAUUAUUUAGGCUCUAUGCAACAACUUAGUGGAUUACUUAUGGAGAAAGAAGUUUCAUUUGUAAUGUAUUAUGCUCCCUGGGAUUCCACUUGUAUUGAAACGCAGGAAGAAUUUGAAGCUGUAGCUAGGUUUUUUCUCACACAGGUGUUUUUUGCUGCUGUGAAUUGCUGGUGGCCAGAUGGCGAAUGUCGACAAAAGUUACAGCCAGAUUCUUAUCCUGUCCUCAUUGUUCACGUGCGAUGGGCAACAGACAUAUACUACAAGGGUCCUCUUGUCAGGCACUAUAUGAUUUCCUUUCUGGAUAAUGUUUUGAAUCCAAUAAAAACCUGUCACCAUGAAAAAGAAAUACUGGAAUUACAAGUGCAACAUGAGGCAGUUCUUGUAAGUUUUUUUGACUUCCAAGCUUCACCAGAGCCACGAGGCUACAAACAGUUUUAUAUGGCAUCGCUGACUGCUCUCAGCAUUGAUCCUACCAGGAGGCUUGGGUUUGGCAUCAUAACUACUAAAAAAAUGGCACUGAAGCUAAAAAUGACAUCUUCCUCUACAGUUGUUCUGUAUCUGUGGAAUGGUACAGAGGUGUACCCUGACAAGAGAAUGGACACCAAAAACAUCCUGAACUGGGCUUACAACAGGCUUCAACAGGUUCACCUGAUAAAGUGGAUUUGUCCAUUACAAUCGAAGAGCAGAAUGCUUUCAGGAUUGAUUGAAAACUAUCCAACUCUUGUUUUAUUUACUCCUCGUAACCUGAUCCGAGGAGUCUCUCCAUAUUAUGAUUUGCUACGAGAAGUUGUUUUGGACUAUUACAACUGUAACUCCUCGACCUACAUUACAUCUGUGGUGCAGAAGCUAUCCCAGCGAAGAGAACAGGCAGAGAUAGACCUUCAAUUACUACGUGAAGAUUGCUCUCUUGUUUUGGAGGAACCACAUCUUAAUAAGAAUGCGAAAGCUGAUCGAGAAGUAUCAAGUUCCAACACUUCAGAAGUUAGAGAUGACAGAGUGAUUCAAAUGGUUUCUACUGUGCAGAAACAAAAGUGCCAGUGCCUGAAGGUUGCCCUCAGUUACAGUGACAUUGAUUUUCCAAAUACACAGUUUAGUGGUGAUCUGUAUGAAAAUUUCACAGGAUUUGUUUGUCAAACCAACAUUACUUUAAAAGUGAUUGCGUUGGAUGCUGUUCAGUUUCACACAUUUCCAGAACACUUAGGAAUUAAUAUAAUGGAAGAAAAACAUCAAACAGCCGUUUUAAUUCUUGACAUGAAAAAAGAGACACAUUACCUACUGAAGGAAGAAAUAGACAAAAAAUCACUGAUGGAUUUCAUUGCAAAUUACACCCGAGGAUUGUUGGAUCGUUACUUAAGAAGCACGAUUAAGGAAACACGAGAAUGUGUAAUGACACGUGACAGUGAAAAUGUCUGUGUCCAUGAGGUGACCACGGAUACUUUCAACAGAGUAGUAAUGAAUCCCAACAAGGAUGUUUUACUCCUCUAUUAUGCCCCCUGGUGUGGAUUUUGUAAAGGUACUUCCCAUAUUUACCUAACUGUGGCAAAGUAUUUCUCUGGAAUCUCAGGAAUUUUAUUUGCAAGAAUUAACGGAGAUGAAAAUGAUCUUCCUUGGGAAUAUACGGUAGAAAAGUACCCUACCUUGAUAUUCUUUCCAGCUCGUAGGAAAGCCGAAAGCAUGAAGUUCCCACAAUCGUUGCAUUUGACAACUACUAAUCUCCUUCAGUUUAUUCUAACUAAUGCUCAGUUCACUGUGAGAUGGCAGGCUGCAGCCGUGAUGUGUAACAAAAAAUGUGUUACUCAGAACUUUCUACAUUCUCUUGCAGAAAUUAAACAUCAUUAUAUCCAACAAAGACUUAUUCUUAAACAGAUUAAUUUGGUUCAACACAAAUUAUAUGAAAUGAAGCUGAGAACAGAUGGAAAGAAAAGGAAACAUUCCUUAGAGACAAUACAGCAAUUCCAGAUAUUAGAAGACUAUUUGAAGUACCUUGUUUUAAACUUAAGAAACAAAAGAAAAGCAAUCAUUAACACAAUAAAUCUUCAAGAUUUACUUCGAAAAAGGUUGGGUUCAACUUUAAUUGAGGAUACAUAUAAAGACCUUAAUAAGAAAACAUACUUAUUUUUAAAAAUACGCUUUACAAGAAAACAACGGAAGAAGAAAAGAAGAAGAAGAAGACGGUAAAAUCUUCAAAAAGUUUGAAACAGCAUUUAAAAACAGAAAAAUAUCAAGAGUGAGGGAGGAGCUUUAGCUAAGUAUGAUAGUUAAUAGUUUUUAAUUUAGCUGUUGCAUUUUAUGGAAACUGGAAAUCCCUUGUGUUAACAGCUAUGUUAGUAUUACUGAAAAGUGUUCUGUUAUCACUGUAUUGACACGAAUAGAUGGAUUUCUUAAUUGAUUCUCAUCUUACUGUUUGCUGUCCACAAUGAUAAAACAAAGAGAAAAAGUGUACUUGUAAUGAAAUCAAAACAAAAGGUAGGGAAGCUAACUUUAAUAGUGUUAUGAUGAACUUAUUAAUGCAGUCUGAAAACAAACAAACAAACAUAUUUUUAAUUGUUGAUUAUGGAAAAAUCAUAAAGUUUGGUCAAAAUUCUGAUUUUUGAAUAUUACAAAUACUUUUAUUCUCAUUGGUAAAAACUAUUUUAGGUUUAUGAGUUCCCAUUUAAUAUUAUUGUGAAAUGAUAAAAACCCUAUGACCCAGUGCUUAUGAAAGGUCUUCCUUUGGAAAACGUUUGGGUUAUAGGGUUUUAUUAUUUUAUAUUAAAGCUUCUUGAACCUACGUAUUUUUCUGGAUGUUAUUAAUGUGAUUCGUGCACUCAUCUGUUGUAUAUAGUUAUUUUUAUCCUGCACAAAGAACAUUGAGAACUUUCAAUAGAUCAUGAACUGUAUCAGAAACAGAAAUAGUGAUAUAAAUUAAGAGAAGGAAGUAUUACAAAAAGCUAGAGGUUAUUAAAAAAGGCUAGAAGUUAUUGAAAAAAGGUUAGAAGUUAUUGAAAAAAGGCUAGAAGUUAUUGAAAAAAGGUUAGAAGUUAUUGAAAAAUGGCUAGAGGUUAUUGAAAAAUGGCUGGAGGUUAUUGAAAAAUGGUUAGAGGUUAUUUAAAAAAGCUAGAGGUUAUCAUAAAAAAGGUUAGAGGUUAUUAAAAAAAGGCUAUAGGUUUUUAAAAAAUGACUAGAGAUUAUUUUCAUGUUAUUUUGUAGCUUACUAUACACACACA
rnacentral:misc_RNA from 1 species